rnacentral:lncRNA from 1 species
AUAUACCGGCCCAGAACAGCCAGGAAAGUAAAGACUCCACAUACUAGAAGGCAAAACUUGCCAGGGCUUUGCCUCUUGAAAACAAAGAGAUUACUUAAGAAGUUGGUCCAAGAUACCCAUCCUUCAGCCAAAUGGUGACACAGUUCUGGCACUCCGAGCAGCCGAGGGUGGACAUAUCCCCAGCUCUCAUUGUCUAAUUCGUCAGGUCUUGCCACUCCAAUUUCAGGCCAUAUUUUGUUCUUCCACUGAUCUAGACAAACUACUACUAUAAGAGUAAGUGCAACCAGGAACACUAAUCGAAGAGAAGUCAGAGCAAAGAACCAGAAGAGGCCGUGCGCCGCCGCCCACCACAGCGCGCUGCGGCCCGGCCGCUCCCACACCAGCGCGGCCUGCGCGGCGCUCAGCAGCCGCUCGUAGGGCCCCAGGCGGCCCCGCAGCGCCGCGCUCAACUCCUGCACUCGCCGCUGCCUCUCGCCGGGCCGCGCCGCCGCCAUGGCUCCUUCCCGGCAUCAACAUCCGGCCGCCGCCGACAUGGC